GAUGAACGCUAGCGGCAGGCUUAAUACAUGCAAGUCGAGGGGCAUCAAGGUACACGAAAGUGUAUUGUUGGCGACCGGCGGACGGGUGAGUAAUAGGUAGGUAACCUACCUCAUACUGAGGCAUAGCUGGGAGAAAUUCCAGGUAAUUCCUCAUGAGGUUAUAUGACACAUGUGAUAUAAUCAAAGGUAUCGCAAGGUACUGGUAUGAGAUGGGCUUACUGACCAUUAGCUAGUUGGCGAGAUAAGAGCUCACCAAGGCGAAGAUGGUUAGGGGUUUUGAGAGAGAGAUCCCCCACAUUGGAACUGAGAUACGGUCCAGACUCCUACGGGAGGCAGCAGUAGGGAAUAUUGGGCAAUGGGCGGAAGCCUGACCCAGCCAUGCCGCGUGAAGGAAGACGGCCUUAUGGGUUGUAAACUUCUUUACUAUGCGACUAACUAGAUUUACGAGAUAAUUCUAUAGAAUGUAGCAUAGCAAAAAGCACCGG
rnacentral:rRNA from 1 species